UACGUAGGGUGCGAGCGUUGUCCGGAAUUAUUGGGCGUAAAGGGCUCGUAGGCGGUUUGUCGCGUCGGGAGUGAAAACCUUGGGCUUAACUCAGGGCUUGCUUUCGAUACGGGCAGACUAGAGGUAUGCAGGGGAGAACGGAAUUCCUGGUGUAGCGGUGAAAUGCGCAGAUAUCAGGAGGAACACCGGUGGCGAAGGCGGGUCUCUGGGCCGAACUGAUCGCUGAGGAGCGAAA
rnacentral:rRNA from 1 species